CUCAACCCGCCCCCUAUUUUGGAAUGAGAUAUUUUAUUUUCAAUUAGCUCUAUUUUUAUGUCCAGACCCAAAAACUCAUUCUCUGUUGUAUAAGAGCAUAAAUCAUUCUCCUUCUGUAUGAGUAUGAAACCAUCUCACUCUCAUGAAAAUGGAGAAUACAUACUCACUUGGAUUCAGCUGUCACCGCACGUUCUCCAUGUCUUUCAAUCUUCGGCCACACAUUUUUCUUAUCUCUCCAUCUUCAUUCACAUAUUCUCCUUGUCUAUCCAUCUUCAGCCAACCCUUCCUUUUAUCUCUCCAUCUUCGGCCACACCCUUCUCCUUUUCAAAAACACAAAUUUGGUUUUCUCAUGAUUCUAACCAUUCUAUCACAAAACCCUUAGUGAUUAUCGUAAACCCUAAAAUUUCAUCGUUGUUCGAAUCGUCACUCAUCUCCAAUAGAUCUCGCUUCUUCAAAUAUUCAUUAUAAUCAUGUUUUGUUUUACAGGUUAAGGAAAGGAGGCAAGAGAUUUUAUAACUUAGAGAAGGUCUGAAGGAAGCUUAAGGUUCGGAUCUAGGUUUUUGGUACUGAAGUAGUGAGGUCAUUCUUCAAUGUUUCUAACUUCACCGAAGGAAGGAUGUUGAACGUGUUUGUCAAAGCUAUUAUGUUGAAUUAUCGAUUUUGAUUUCUAUGAGGGAGCAUAGUUCUUUAGGGGAAAUUUGGUGUUUAAUCUCUUUGAGAAACAAGCUGAACCUCUUCCUAUUUUUCUUCUUCAGAUGCAACAUUUUAGUACUCUCCCUAAGAUGCCAAUUAAAGAUAUGACACAACAGGUAGAAAGAGACUUUCUAGUGAUAUACUUAUUUUAGGGUCUUCUUUGUUGUAUGAAGUUUUAGCAUUAUUGACUCUGAUUUAGAUAGUUAAAUGAUGUAUGGAAUUUAUAUAGACUACUCUACAUGCUAGAAGGGUUGUAUGUUGGAAGACUCUCUCCGACAGCCAAUGAGAAAGUAUAAGGAUUUAACAAGCCAUCUAUAGUAUCAAUAUUUAUGACUA